rnacentral:lncRNA from 10 species
CAAAAAUCGAGGAAACAUUAUUUCAGUAUUUGACAACUAGGAUCUGAAAAAAGUUGCUUUCAUCAUUGAAUAAAUAAAUUCUGACAUACUCUUCAUUACAUCUUCAUUGCUUCAUUUUCAUCUUACUCAUAAAAACAAACAUAUCAACCAUCAUUCAUGUGGGAAUUACACUUAUUUGCAAUUUUUUUUUGUCAAAAAACACAUUCUGUAAGAAUCAAUUGGUCAUAAGGAGUUUACAAUAAAGAGUACUGUAUAUAUUACUAUUAUUAUUUGUAAGUUAUGAGAUACACAUCCUUUAUAUCAGCAACAUUUAUAAUAAAUAUAUAGCGUGUGCGUGUGUGUGUGUGUGUGUGUGUGUGUUCUACACAACCCUAUCUCAGCUGGUUGUUAAGCAUUUAUCAGAGCCCAAGUUUCUUUCCAAAGAACAUUCCAAGUGAGAUAACCUCAAAGGCUCUUGCAUUUCUUGCAUCCAGCUUAAAAUGUAGGUACUGUGGGAGAUAUGCAGUCUUUCCAUCAGAUACAAAUGGAAAAUUGUUUGUUUGUUUGGUUUGUUAUGGGUCUGCUAGCCUAUAAACCAAAGGAAAAUUGGUCUGCCCUCCAUGUACAAUAGUGGAGAAGAAGCAGGACUACCAUAAUAAGCGCCCAUUUGGAAAAGAGGCUGGAAAGUGCACAGUCAUCAGUUAUUAAAGCACACAGUCAUCAUAGAAAUUAGGCCAUUCUGCUUGACAAGAGUAGCAAAGGCUUCCUAUCUUGUCAUGGGUAAGUUCCUUGGUUGGCCGAUCUGGCUGAAUUUGUUUAUUCUCUCUGGAAGGAUCUACCGGAGUCCCUCUUCCCCUCCCCUUCUGGCUCUCCCCUCCGAUGUUGCUUGGUAAAGAUGCUCUUCCUAGGGCUACACAGCAUUCAAAACCAACUUGCUAUUGGUGUGCUUUUAGUAACCAGGGACUAUUUUAGGGGUUUACUAAUCAUAGAGAAUCUGGGGACAGUCUUAGGGAGAAGAAACUUCCUUGGAAAUAUAUUUCCCUUUAAACUUAGAACAGUUUUGCUUUAUUUGCUCCUGGUAAAGUCCGCAUUUAAAAAUAACAGUCAGCUGGGCGCAUGUUGAAAUGAACAAGUGUUUGAGUCAACCUCCACAGAAAUGUUUGAAAGAUUAAAAAUAUUUUAUUGGCCGCACAAUAUUGCAAGGAAGACAGCAACAUUGAAAUUACAAGUGUUUAAUUAAAUGUCUCUGGAUUGUGACAUUAGGUCAACUAGUUGAGGGCAACUCCAUUCAACUCAUGUAUAUAUUACAUUUAAUGUGGAAUGAGAGCAUUUUAAUAUGUGUAAUAAAAGAUAAGAGUCUCCAAAAGUAAGAGUGCAUAGAGCCUAUGAACUAUCAAAAUAACCUUGUCUACACUCCGUGAUGGUUCUUAUCACAAUGAUCAUUAUCUCUGUACCUCACAGGUGGAUUCUGAAUGGUGGGUCAAUGUCCAUAGGAAAUGGCUCCAGUUGUCUAUACUGUUUUCUAAGCAUCUGGACCUGAACCCUAAAUAAGAAUGUAAAAUGAAAUACUGUAUUCCUCAUUCUAUUUCUUCAAAGUUUAUAUUGUGUUAAUUUUAAAAAAGCAAAGUUUAAAGUAUGUUUCAGGCUGGCCAUAGUGGCUCAUGCCUGUAAUCCCAGCACUUUAAGAGGCUGAGGUGGGUAGAACACUUGAGGUCAGGAGUUCAAGACCAGCCUGGCCAACAUGGCGAAACCCUGUCUCUACUGAAAAUACAAAAAUGAGCUGGGAGUGGUGGCACGUGC